rnacentral:lncRNA from 10 species
CCGCAGCUCCCGUCGCCACCUCGCGUCCCGCUAUCCCCGCGCACGCCGCCUCCGGCCCUGAGUCCCGGCCGCACCCGGCGCCGCUCACCUGCUUCUGGAUGUCCCGCACGCGCUGCUCGUGCAGGCGCGGAGCGCUGCUGAGCUUGAACACCACCCAGGCGCGCACGUAGUAGUAGAUAUCGAAGAUAAGCGAGAGCGGCAGGAGGAAGAGGCACACGAACACCCAGCGCUGGUGGAUGAGCACGAACUCCAGCCCCUUCAGGCGCACCCACAGCAGGAAGAGCAGCGCGCACACGGCCAGCGACACGGCGGGCUCCAUGGUGCGGCGCCGCGCGGUGAGGAAAUUAAAGUUGAGAGACACUAAGCAACUGCCCCAGGCUUCCAUGGCAGAAUGAGGAUUCAGGUCGAGCCUGUCUAACUGUUAACCCCAUCCCUUUCCAUCACAUUUUUAUGCCUACCUAGCAUGGGCCUGGUUGGCAGGGCUCUUGAAGUAGAGCUUCUCAAAUGCAACUGCACCUGUGCAUCUUGCUAAGAUGUGGAUUCUGAUGCAGGACUUCUGGGUGGGGGCUGAGACUCCAUUUCUAACAAGUCCCCAAGUCAUUCCAAUGCUGCUGGCCUGCAAAGCACAAUGUGAGAAGCAGGAGUUCAGCCCCCGCCCCCCUCAUUUUGCAGCAGAAGAAAUUGAGGUUGUUGAAGUCAAGUGACUUACUUCAAGUGGCAUGGCACGUUAGUGGAAGAGGCAGGAUACAGACAUGGGAAUGCUAAUUUCCAGUCCAGAGCCUUGCCUUUACCAUGUGUGUCAGUUACUAGGCUAUUGUCUCUUUGCUCCAACCCCAUCCUUCCGCACUUAGCUUUGGAUGCUGGGGUUGUGCUAUGGACUGAAUAUUUGUGUCCCUCCCCAAAUCCAUGUGUUGAAGCCUAAUCCUCAGUGGGAUGGAAUUAGGAGGUGGGGAAGUAAUUAGGUCAGGAGAGUGGAGCCCUCAUAAGUGGGAUUAGUGCCUUCAUAAGAGACAAGAGACAGCUUGCAUCCUCGUGCUCUGCAAUCCACUGUAUGAGCGUAGAAUGAGAAGACAGCUGUCUGCAAAGAAGAGUGUCCUCAUCAGACUCUAGAUCAGCUGGCACCUUGAUCUUGG